rnacentral:rRNA from 1 species
AUUGAACGCUGGCGGCAGGCUUAACACAUGCAAGUCGAGCGAGCGGCGGACGGGUGAGUAAUGUCUGGGCAACUGCCUGAUGGAGGGGGAUAACUACUGGAAACGGUAGCUAAUACCGCAUACCAUCAGAUGUGCCCAGAUGGGAUUAGCUAGUAGGUGGGGUAAUGGCUCACCUAGGCGACGAUCCCUAGCUGGUCUGAGAGGAUGACCAGCCAAACUGGAACUGAGACACGGUCAAGAAUCCGACGGGAGGCAGAAGUGGGGAAUAGUGGACAAUGGGCGCAAGCAUGAUGAAGGCAUGCCGCGUGUGUGAAGAAGGCGUGAGGGUUGUAAAGCACUUUCAGCGAGGAGGCGGUACUCGAAGAAGAAGCACCGGCUAACUCCGUGCCAGCCGCCGCGGUAAUUC